UCCUGGUUAGCUCAGUUGGUACAGCGCUCCACUGGAAAUAGAGAGGUCCCUGGUUCGAUUCCAAGACGAGGCG
rnacentral:tRNA from 1 species